GUCUUCUCACUGAGCUCCUUUCUGUCUGCUGGUGGCCGAUUAUGGAUCCGCACGAGAAGAAGAGAGAAUUCACAGAGCUAGCACUUAGCUUCUGUUUUUACAGAGGUCUAUUUGUCUACUGUGCGAGACAUUC
ensembl:snoRNA SNORA75 Small nucleolar RNA SNORA75